UUUUGACAGAAAAAAAAAGAAACUAAAAUGAUCGAUAUGUUGAAGGAGAAAAUAAUAAUUGACGUUCCGUUGUAGCCUCACGCGUACAAACCAUCCAAGCCAAAUGCAAAAUAUAUAUUCUACAAUGGAAUCAUGAUAAAUAGCAUCACAUAAAAUAAAAUAAAAAUUGAAUCAAAAUAAACUGCCAAAACUCGAAACAUGCCGAAAUACAAGGAGCACGACAUAUGCACAGGUCGGAGGGCGAAUAAGUCGUAUUCGAUAAAAGAAUUACUGCAGUAUGCAGUUGCUUACACAGCGUACUGCGUGUGUAGAUCUCUACCGGUCAUAUUUUAUCUAUUACUCGGAGUAUACUAUUUCGUUUGUCAGACCGUAUGGUGUAUCCUGUUUUGCUCCUAAAGGUUGUUGUUUUGAAAUUUAUAAUCAUUUAUUUCAAUUUCGAUACAAAGAACUUUUUUUUUUUGUAACAUAAAACAAGCUUUGCCAGCGUUUCGAAGAAAAGCUACAGUUUAAAGAAGAUUCGACCUAAUAAACAUGGAGCACACAGCCUAAACUAUGUUAUUUUUUUAUUUGUUUUGUUUUUUUUUAAACAAUCAUUUUAAUACGUAAAAUCCAUAUUAUUCUAUAACUAUCGUCAAAUAGUCAAUUAAAAAGAUAAAUAUCGAGUGUCUCAGUCCGAUCCGUGUCGUCUAAUAAAUAAUGUAAUUUAUUGAUAUUUCAACAUAAUAAACAUAAAUAAAAAAAAAUUGAAAAUAAUAAUAA